GACGAACGCUGGCGGCGUGCUUAACACAUGCAAGUCGAACGGAAAGGCCCUGCUUUUGUGGGGUGCUCGAGUGGCGAACGGGUGAGUAACACGUGAGUAACCUGCCCUUGACUUUGGGAUAACUUCAGGAAACUGGGGCUAAUACCGGAUAGGAGCUCCUGCUGCAUGGUGGGGGUUGGAAAGUUUCGGCGGUUGGGGAUGGACUCGCGGCUUAUAAGCUUGUUGGUGGGGUAGUGGCUUACCAAGGCUUUGACGGGUAGCCGGCCUGCGAGGGUGACCGGCCACGUUGGGCCUGAGAUGCGGCCCAGACUCCUACGGGAGGCAGCAGUGGAGAAUAUUGCACUAUGGGCGGAAGCCUGAUGCAGCAACGCCGCGUGCGGGAAGACGGCAUUCGGGUUGGAAACCGCUUUCGCCUGUGACGAAGCGUGAGUGACGGUAAUGGGUGAAGAAGCACCGGCUGACUACGUG
rnacentral:rRNA from 1 species